CACCGAAGCUGCGGCAGCGAACGUAUCACUUAAAGCGAUUCAGCGGGUUACGAUUGACGGAGCGAAGCGACGUCAAAGCGUAUACAAAGUCGAGUCGGUUUAAGGAUACGUUCGUUGGGUAGGGGAGCGUUCUGUAAGCCUGCGAAGGUGGCCUGUGAGGGUUGCUGGAGGUAUCAGAAGUGCGAAUGCUGACAUAAGUAACGAUAAAGCGGGUGAAAAGCCCGCUCGCCAGAAGACCAAGGGUUCCUGUC
rnacentral:rRNA from 1 species